GCCGGAUCGGAUAGCCGGAAAACGGGACCGGUGCGGACCCUCGGAAUGUGGGACAACCGGAGCCUGAUCACCUCCUAAAUACGGUAAUAACUGCUCAUUAGCAAUUUGCCUGUAUUCUCCUGCUUUGUGUGGUUCUGUCUCCGUGUCCAAUUCCGGCUUCCAGAAGGCUACAAGACAGGUGCCUAUACGAACCUGUUGAUUGUCU